UGGAAGUGCCUUUCCGAACUUGGACGGUUGUUGCGUAAGGAACACCAAUCAUCCCAGCUCAGAAGGCACUUUCCUUAUACCGACACCCGCCUAUCCAGGCAAUCCAUCGGUGGAUCGAG
rfam:Mycobacterium sp. NAZ190054 Contig_484, whole genome shotgun sequence.